UACGGGGGGGAGCAAGCGUUGUUCGGAUUUACUGGGCGUAAAGGGCGCGUAGGCGGCCAGCACAAGUCAGUUGUGAAAUCUCCGAGCUUAACUCGGAAAGGUCAACUGAUACUGUGCGGCUAGAGUGCAGAAGGGGCAACUGGAAUUCUUGGUGUAGCGGUGAAAUGCGUAGAUAUCGAGAGGAACACCUGCGGCGAAGGCGGGUUGCUGGGCUGACACUGACGCUGAGGCGCGAAAGCCAGGGGAGCGAACGGG
rnacentral:rRNA from 1 species